CAGUAGCCGCGGGAAUACGUAGGUGGCAAGCGUUGUCCGGAAUUAUUGGGCGUAAAGCGCGCGCAGGCGGAUCAGUUAGUCUGUCUUAAAAGUUCGGGGCUUAACCCCGUGAGGGGAUGGAAACUGCUGAUCUAGAGUAGCGGAGAGGAAAGUGGAAUUCCUAGUGUAGCGGUGAAAUGCGUAGAUAUUAGGAAGAACACCAGUGGCGAAGGCGACUUUCUGGACGAAAACUGACGCUGAGGCGCGAAAGCCAGGGGAGCGAACGGGAUUAGAUACCCCCGUAGUCCCUGUCUCUUAUACC
rnacentral:rRNA from 1 species